rnacentral:rRNA from 1 species
GACGAACGCUGGCGGCGUGCUUAACACAUGCAAGUCGAACGGAAAGGCCCUGCUUUGGCGGGGUGCUCGAGUGGCGAACGGGUGAGUAACACGUGAGUAACCUGCCCUUGACUGGGGGAUAACUUCAGGAAACUGGGGCUAAUACCGGAUAGGAGCUCCUGCUGCAUGGUGGGGGUUGGAAAGUUUCGGCGGGUGGGGAUGGACUCGCGGCUUAUCAGCUUGUUGGUGGGGUAGUGGCUUACCAAGGCUUUGACGGGUAGCCGGCCUGAGAGGGUGACCGGCCACAUUGGGACUGAGAUACGGCCCAGACUCCUACGGGAGGCAGCAGUGGGGAAUAUUGCACAAUGGGCGGAAGCCUGAUGCAGCAACGCCGCGUGCGGGAUGACGGCCUUCGGGUUGUAAACCGCUUUCGCCUGUGACGAAGCGUGAGUGACGGUAAUGGGUAAAGAAGCACCGGCUAACUACGUG